AUUGAACGCUGGCGGCAUGCCUUACACAUGCAAGUCGAACGGCAGCACGGGAGCAAUCCUGGUGGCGAGUGGCGAACGGGUGAGUAAUAUAUCGGAACGUGCCCGGUCGUGGGGGAUAACGUAGCGAAAGCUACGCUAAUACCGCAUACGAUCUACGGAUGAAAGCGGGGGAUCGCAAGACCUCGCGCGAUUGGAGCGGCCGAUAUCAGAUUAGGUAGUUGGUGAGGUAAAGGCUCACCAAGCCGACGAUCUGUAGCUGGUCUGAGAGGACGACCAGCCACACUGGGACUGAGACACGGCCCAGACUCCUACGGGAGGCAGCAGUGGGGAAUAUUGGACAAUGGGCGAAAGCCUGAUCCAGCCAUGCCGCGUGUGUGAAGAAGGUCUUCGGAUUGUAAAGCACUUUAAGUUGGGAGGAAGGGUAGUAACCUAAUAACGUUGCUACUUUGACGUUACCGACAGAAUAAGCACCGGCUAACUUCGUGCCAG
rnacentral:rRNA from 1 species